rnacentral:rRNA from 1 species
CCUACGGGAGGCAGCAGUGGGGAAUAUUGCGCAAUGGGCGAAAGCCUGACGCAGCGACGCCGCGUGAGGGAUGAAGGUCUUCGGAUCGUAAACCUCUGUCAGCAGGGAAGAACGGUCACUGUGCUAAUCAGCAGUGAAUUGACGGUACCUGCAAAGGAAGCACCGGCUAACUCCGUGCCAGCCGCCGCGGUAAUACGGAGGGUGCGAGCGGUAAUCGGAAUUACUGGGCGUAAAGCGCGCGUAGGCGGUAUGUCAAGGCAAGGGUGAAAACCCCGGGCUCAACGUGGGGACUGCCUUUGAAACUGGCAAACUGGAGAGUGUGAGAGGAUAGUGGAAUGCCAGGUGUAGGAGUGAAAUCCGUAGAGAUCUGGAGGAACAUCAGUGGCGAAGGCGACUAUCUGGCACAUAACUGACGCUGAGGAGCGAAAGCGUGGGUAGCGAACAGGAUUAGAUACCCUGGUAGUC